UACGGGGGGAGCAAGCGUUGUUCGGAUUUACUGGGCGUAAAGGGCGCGUAGGCGGUCAGCACAAGUCAGUUGUGAAAUCUCCGGGCUUAACUCGGAAAGGUCAACUGAUACUGUGCGACUAGAGUGCAGAAGGGGCAACUGGAAUUCUCGGUGUAGCGGUGAAAUGCGUAGAUAUCGAGAGGAACACCUGCGGCGAAGGCGGCAUCCUGGACCGGCAUUGACGCUGAUGAGCGAAAGCUAGGGGAGCAAACGGG
rnacentral:rRNA from 1 species